rnacentral:rRNA from 1 species
GACGAACGCUGGCGGCGUGCUUAACACAUGCAAGUCGAACGGAAAGGCCCUGCUUUUGUUGGGUGCUCGAGUGGCGAACGGGUGAGUAACACGUGAGUAACCUGCCCUUGACUUUGGGAUAACUUCAGGAAACUGGGGCUAAUACCGGAUAUGAGCUCCUGCUGCAUGGUGGUGGUUGGAAAGUUUCGGCGGUUGGGGAUGGACUCGCGGCUUCUCAGCUUGUUUGUGGGGUAGUGGCUUACCAAGGCUUUGACGGGUAGCCUGCCUGAGAGGGUGACCGGGCACAAUGGGACUGAGAUACGGACCAGAAGGCUACGGGAGGCAGCAGUGGGGAAUAUUGCAGAAUGGGCGGAAGCCUGAUGCAGCAACGCCGCGUGCGGGAUGACGGCCUACGGGUGGUAAACAGAUUUCGCAGGUGACGAAGAGUGAGUGACGGUAAUGGGUAAAGAAGCAACGGCUAACUACGUG